CCUACGGGAGGCAGCAGUGGGGAAUAUUGGACAAUGGGCGAAAGCCUGAUCCAGCCAUGCCGCGUGUGUGAAGAAGGCCUUCGGGUUGUAAAGCACUUUCAGUGGGGAAGAAAGCCUUGGGGCUAAUACCCUCGAGGAAGGACAUCACCCACAGAAUAAGCACCGGCUAACUCCGUGCCAGCAGCCGCGGUAAUACGGAGGGUGCGAGCGUUAAUCGGAAUUACUGGGCGUAAAGCGCGCGUAGGCGGUCUGAUAAGCCGGUUGUGAAAGCCCCGGGCUCAACCUGGGAACGGCAUCCGGAACUGUCAGGCUAGAGUGCAGGAGAGGAAGGUAGAAUUCCCGGUGUAGCGGUGAAAUGCGUAGAGAUCGGGAGGAAUACCAGUGGCGAAGGCGGCCUUCUGGACUGACACUGACGCUGAGGUGCGAAAGCGUGGGUAGCAAACAGGAUUAGAUACCCGAGUAGUC
rnacentral:rRNA from 1 species